rnacentral:rRNA from 1 species
CGCGUGGGGAAUCUGCCUUUGAGCGGGGGACGAACAUUUGGUAAACGAAAUGCUAAUACCGCAUAAAAACUUUAAAACAACAAGUUUUAAGUUUUGUAAAGAAUGCAAUUGCAUCACUCAAAGAUGAUCCCGCGUUGUAUUAGCUAGUUGGUGAGGUAAAGGCUCACCAAAGCGAUGAUACAUAGCCGACCUGAGAGGGUGAUCGGCCACAUUGGGACUGAGACACGGCCCAAACUCCUACGGGAGGCAGCAGUAGGGAAUCUUCGGCAAUGGACGAAAGUCUGACCGAGCAACGCCGCGUGAGUGAAGAAGGUUUUCGGAUCGUAAAACUCUGUUGGUAGAGAAGAACGUUGGUGAGAGUGGAAAGCUCAUCAAGUGACGGUAACUACCCAGAAAGGGACGGCUAA